UACAGAGGGUGCGAGCGUUAAUCGGAAUUACUGGGCGUAAAGCGUGCGUAGACGGUUAUUUAAGUCGGGUGUGAAAGCCCCGGGCUCAACCUGGGAAUUGCAUUCGAGACUGAAUAGCUAGGGUACGGUAGAGGGAAGCGGAAUUUCCGGUGUAGCGGUGAAAUGCGUAGAUAUCGGAAGGAACACCGGUGGCGAAGGCGGUUCUCUGGGCAUGAUCUGACGCUGAGGAGCGAAAGUGUGGGGAGCGAACAGG
rnacentral:rRNA from 1 species